rnacentral:lncRNA from 1 species
CGGCACUAAUCAGCUUGGACUGGUUCAAACCAGUCUAGACCUCUUCCAAACAGUCUGAGCUAGUUCCAACCUGUCUGGGCCAGUUCAAAUUGGUCUGGGCAAGUUGGAACCCGCCUGGACCUUUUCCAAAUGCUUUGGGCUGGUUCCAACUGGCUUGGGCUGGAUCCAACUGGUAUGAAAUGAUUGCAACAGGUCUGGGCUGGUUCCAAGCGACAUAGACCUGUUCCAACCAGCCUGGACCUGUUGUAACCAGCUUGGUCCAGUUUCAAAUGACCUGGACCAGCUCCAACUGUCCUGGACCUGCUCCAAACUGUCUGGGCCAGUUCCAACCCACUUAGAACUGUUCAAUCCGACCAAGACCGGUUCAAACCUGCCUUGACCGAUUGAAACCGGUUUGGACCGGCACAAACCUAUCUAGACCUGUUAAAACCGGCCUAGACAGGUUCCAACCAGCUUGGACCUGUUUCAACCGAAUUGGACUGGUUCAAACCACCCUAGACCUGUUCCAACCAGUCUGGGCCAGUUCCAACUGGUCUGUGCAAAUUGAAAACCACCUGGGCCUUUCCCAACUGCUUUGGGCUGGUUCCAACCGGCAUGGACCAGACCCAACUGGUAUGAACUGGUUCCAACUGGGCUGCACUGGUCCCAAGCGAAAUAGUCCUGUACCAACCGGCCUGGACCUGUUCUAACCAGCUGGGCCAGUUUCAAAUGACCUGCACCUGCUCCAACUGGCCUGGACCUGCUCCAACCUAUCUGGGCCAGUUCCAACCCACUUGGAACUGCUCAAACUGGCUUGGGCCAUUUCAAACUGGCCUAGACCUGUUCAAAUGGGCCUAGACCGGUACAAACCAGCCAAGACCGGUUCAAACCGGCUUGGACUGGCACAAACUGGCUUAGACAGGUUCAAACGGGCCAAGACCGGUUUUAACUGGCUUGGACCUGUUUCAACCGACUUGGACCGGUUCAAACCAGCCCAGACCUGUUUCAACCAGUCUGAGGUCUAGGCUGGUUUGAACAGGCCCAAGCCAGUUUGAACAGUUCCAGACAGCUUCAAGCAGGUCCAGGCCGGUUGGAACAGGUGGAUGUCAUUUGAAACUUGCGCAAGCUGGUUAGAUUUGGCCUACCGGAAGGGCGUGGACUUAAUGUGGAACAUUUUCGAUGAUUUUGAUGAUCUGAGGAUUUCUUUCCCAAAUUAAGUCACAAUUUGGUCAUCACUGUUGGAAAGGUGCACUUGGAGGGACUGCCGAUGCUCUAUUGGUAUGAACAAAUCCAGAAAGAUUCUGGAACGCUCAGUGGCUCGAAGAGUGGCAGCGCUGGGGGGGGGGACAUUGACCACCCCAACAUCCAGUUCAGCAAGGUGACCCUCUACCACGAGGAUGGCGUGCAUCCUUCCACUGCGGGAAACGAUGUUUGGUUGGCUGACAGAUCUGCGGGGAUUAGGGAUUGGUUGCAGGUCUGAGGGUAUUGGCGGUGAGCUUUGCUCGAGUGGCGGUUAGGCAUUGGUAUGGGUAUUGUUAUGUAGAUGUAUGGGGGGGGGAGGAGCGCCAUCACCUCCCCCGGAUAUUGAAGGGUAGUCCGAUAAAGGAUUCUGGCGGGCAUGGCCCCGUCUGAAGCCUAUGGAGGCCACGGCCCAAGGCACGCCCCCGAGCAGUGACCCUGAGGGAGUGCCUAGUUGAUGUGCAUCAGCAGGGCUCCCCCUGCUGGUGUUAACCCUUCCGGAUUUUCAAGCAAGCAGGCUGAAGCCAGAUAGUCUGAUAGGUGGGAGGUGGGAACUCGUCACGCAACCUGGCUUGGCCAAUUCAGCUCACAAUGCGUUCUCAAAGUCUCUGGGGUCAGUUUGACACCAUAGUCCCCUGAGAAAGCCCUUUUGAAAUUUGCUAUCAUACAGCCUGGUGGAGUGCUUGAAUUACAAGCUGUUGAACACUCCCCCCGCAUCGCUAUGUCCCUUGUGAAGUGCUUCUCACCAGAUUCUCAGAGAUUAGCUUCCCUUUGUUCCCGAUCAAAAUGCAGUCACCUGAUUUGGAAAUGCGGUACUGAAAGGUCCACAUUCAGUGCCCUGGCACCCUGUUACCAUCAAUUCUGUUGGAACCAGUUCAGAUCAGUUGGAACCAGUCCAAGCCAGUUGGAACCAGCUGAAACCAAUUGGGAAAAGUCCAUGUGGGUUCCAACUCGCCCAGACCAGUUUGAACUGGCCCAGACUGGUUGGAACUGGCUCAGAUUGCUUGGAACAGGUCUAGGCUUGUUUGAACCGGUCCAGGUCGUUUGAAACAGGUCCAAGCCAGUUGGAACCGGUCUAGACCAGUAUGAACCGGUCUAGGCAGGUUUGAGCCAGUACAAGCCAGUUUGAACCGGUCUUGGCUGGUUUGAAAGCAGGCCUCAAGCCAGUUUGAGCAGUUCCAAGUGGCUUGGAAUUGGCCUGUUCAAACUGGCCUAGACCGGUACAAAACAGCCAAGACCAGUUCAAACCGGCUUGGACUGGCACAAACUGGCUUAGACCGGUUCAUACUGGCCUAGACCGGUUCCAACCGGCUUGGACCUGUUUCAACUGACCUGGACCGGUUCAAACCAGCCUAGACCUGUUUCAAGCAGUCUGAGGUCUAGGAUGGUUUGAAGAGGCUCAAGCAAGUUUGAACAGUUCCAGACAGCUUCAAGCAGGUCCAGGCCGGUUGGAACAGAUGGAUGUCAUUUGAAACUGGCCCAGGCUGGUUAGUUUUGGCCUACCGGAAGGGCGUGGACUUAAUGUGGAACAUUUUCGAUGAUUUUGAUGAUCUGAGGAUUUCUUUCCCAAAUUUAGUCAUAAUUUGGUCACCACUGUUGGAAAGGCGCACUUGGAGGGACUGCCGAUGUCCUAUUGCUAUAAACAAAUCCAGAAAGAUUCUGGAACGCUCAGUGGCUCGAAGAGUGGCAGCGCUGGGGGGGCGGGACAUUGACCAGCCCAACAUCCAGUUCAGCAAGGUGACCCUCUACCACGAGGAUGGCGUGCCUCUUUCCAAUGCGGGAAACAAUGUUUGGUUGGCUGACAUAUCUGCGGGGAUUAGGGAUUGAAUCAUAGAAUCAUAGAAUCAUAGAGUUGGAAGAGACCACAAGGGCCAUCGAGUCCAACCCCUGCCAAGCAGGAAACAGCAUCAGAGCACUCCUGACAUAUGGUUGUCAAGCCUCUGCUUAAAGACCUCCAAAGAAGGAGACUCCACCACACUCCUUGGCAGCAAAUUCCACUGUCGAACAGCUCUUACUGUCAGGAAGUUCUUCCUAAUGUUUAGGUGGAAUCUUCUUUCUUGUAGUUUGGAUCCAUUGAUUGGUUGCAGGUCUGUGGGUAUUGGCGGCGAGCUUUGCUCAAGUGGCGGUUAGGCAUUGGUAUGGGUAUUGUUAUGUAGAUGUUUGGGAGGAGGAGUGCCAUCACCUCCCCCGGAUAUUGAAGGGUAGUCCGAUAAAGGAUUCUGGGGAGCAUGGCCCCGUCUGAAGCCUAUGGAGGCCAGGGCUCAAGGCACCACCCCCCCCCCCCCGAGCAGUGACCCUGGGGGAGUGCCUAGUUGAUGUGCAUCAGCAGGGCUCCCCUGCUGGUGUUAACCCUUCCGGAUUUUCAAGCAAGCAGGCUGAAGCCGGAUAGUCAGAUAGGUGGGAGGUGGGAACUCGCCACGCAACCUGGCUUGGCCAAUUCAGCUCACAAUGCAUUCUCAAAGUCUCUGGGGUCAGUUUGACACCACAGUCCCCUGAGAAAGCCCUUUUGAAAUUUGCUAUCUUACAGCCUGGUGGAGUGCUUGAAUUACAAGCUGUUGAACACUCCCCCCGCAUUGCUAUGUCCCUUUUGAAGUGCUUCUCACCAGAUUCUCAGAGAUUCGCUUCCCUUUGUUCCCGAUCAAAAUGCAGUCACCUGAUUUGGAAAUGCGGUACUGAAAGGUCCACAUUCAGUGCCCUGGCGCCCUGUUACCAUCAAUUCUGUUGGAACCAGUUCAGAUCAGUUGGAACCAGUCCAAGCCAGUUGGAACCAGCUGAAACCAAUUGGGAAAAGUCCAUGCGGGUUCCAGCUUGCCCAGACCAGUUUGAACUGGCCGAGACUGGUUGGAACUGGCUCAGAUUGCUUGGAACAGGUCUAGCCUUGUUUGAACGGGUCCAGGUCGGUUGAAACAGGUCCAAGCCGGUUGGAACCGGUCUAGGCCAGUAUGAACCGGUCUAGGCAGGUUUGAGCCAGUACAAGCCAGUUUGAACCGGUCUUGGCUGGUUUGAAUAGGUCUAGGCCGGUUUGAAACGGCCCAAGCCAGUUUGAGCAGUUCCAAGUGGGUUGGAAUUGGCC